AUCAUACCACUGCAACUCAGCCAACCAGCACAUCGGACAGUGGGAGGAGGAAUUCUUGGCUAAGAGUACUGAGAGAUGGGGUUUCACCAUGUUAACCAGGAUGGUCUCAAUCUCCUGACCGCGUGAUCCACCUGCCUCAGCCUCCGAAAGUGCUGGGAUUACAGGCGUGAGCCACCAUGCCUGGCCAAAAUUCUCUAUGUCUUUCUAAUCUCACUUCCUAAUAGAGAUAAAGUAGAUCUCAGGCUUAUGUAUUUUUCUAGAACAUUAAAAUCUUGUUUUUUGUGUA
rnacentral:lncRNA from 1 species